rnacentral:rRNA from 1 species
AUUGAACGCUGGCGGCAGGCCUAACACAUGCAAGUCGAGCGGCAGCACGAGGGAGUUUACUCCUGAGGUGGCGAGCGGCGGACGGGUGAGUAAUGCCUAGGGAUCUGCCCAGUCGAGGGGGAUAACAGUUGGAAACGACUGCUAAUACCGCAUACGCCCUACGGGGGAAAGAGGGGGACUUUCGGGCCUCUCGCGAUUGGAUGAACCUAGGUGGGAUUAGCUAGUUGGUGAGGUAAUGGCUCACCAAGGCGACGAUCCCUAGCUGUUCUGAGAGGAUGAUCAGCCACACUGGGACUGAGACACGGCCCAGACUCCUACGGGAGGCAGCAGUGGGGAAUAUUGCACAAUGGGGGAAACCCUGAUGCAGCCAUGCCGCGUGUGUGAAGAAGGCCUUCGGGUUGUAAAGCACUUUCAGUAGGGAGGAAAGGGUAAGUCCUAAUACGGCUUAUCUGUGACGUUACCUACAGAAGAAGGACCGGCUAACUCCGUGCCAGCCGCCGCAGUAACAC